AUGGAGGUGGCGACGGUGUUCCUGGAGACGAGCCUGGGCACCCGCCUCGCCGUCUCAUUCCCCGCCUCCGCCACCACCGUCGCCGACCUCAAGCGGAGAGUGAGCGAUGAACACGCCGCAGCUUUUCCCCACAUCGGCCACAUCGCCGUCCAAGCCAUCAAGGUGAACCAGGGAGGCUCCUUGUACCAGCUCACCGACUCCAUGGCCGUCCGGGAUGCCUUCCAGGGGGUCACCGGCGCCUGGCACCUCCAACUCCAACUCGAUGCUCUUCAUGUUGAUGCCCAUCAACAAGCUCCUCCUCAAGUGCCACACGCCUGCAACUGCAAACAUGAUUCAUCCAGCAGCAGGAGCUUUGCUGCUGCUUUGGGAUGCCAGAUUCUCACUCACCAGCACCAGCAGGCUCAACUUGAAGCCACCCACACUGAAACUGAAAGGCCACCCCGGGACAAGCAUAGGGCGGUUAAGAGGCCUGCUGCUGAUUCUGAUUUUGAUUUUGGCCUUCUCUCUGUCCACAAGGAACCACGCGGCAGCAUAAUAGCUGGGAACAUGUGCAAUGCUGCAAACAGCAAGCAAGAUGCACCUUGUGUUGAGGAACUGGACCAAGCUGAUCCUUGUUCACAAAUGCAAGUUGAGGAAAAGGAAACUUGGACACCCAAGGAAGCUGAUUCUUCACAACAACAAGAAGCAAUGCAGAACAAUGUCGAGGAAAAGGAGUCGCUGACAGCAAAGCUCUGUAACGGCGAUGAAAGCAGCAACAAAGAGACUGAUCAUCCACCACCACCUUGUGCCGCCGUGUCCACCAAAGAAGGCGAAAAUGAAGCUAUGCGAUGCAAAGUUGAUGAAAAUGGGACAUUGACAGCUAAGGCGGUGCGCAUUGACGAAAGAAACGACAACAGGAUGCAUCUUCCACCACCUUGUGCCGCCGAGUCCACCAAAAAAGGCGAUUCUUAUGAAAAAGAAGCAAUGACACGCCAAGUUGAGGAGAAGGAGCCAUUGGCAGCAAACGUGUGCAACGGCGAUGAAAGCAGCAACAAAGAGACCGAUCACCCAUCACCUUGUGCCGCCGAGGCCACCAAAGAAGGCGAUUCUUAUGAAAAAGAAGAAGCGAUAAAACACAAAGCUGAGGAAAAAGUGUGCAACAACGAAAGCAGCAGCAACUGGACUGAUCCUUCACCUGGCGACGGGUCCAUGAAUGAAGCUGAUUCUUCAGAAAAUGAAGUAAUGCAACAUGAAGCUGAGGAAAAGGAGCCAUGGACUGACAGUGUGUGCAAAGGGGGAGGAAGCAGCCACUGGAAUGAUCCGAUUGAAUGGACGGACGCAGAACAGAGGGCAUGGGAGAUGGCAUUGAAGAAAAGAAGGCGGCCGAGGACCACAGUGCGCAAAAUGCCCAACAGUAGGGCAGCCAAGCUGUAUGGCUACAGCUGA
rnacentral:rRNA from 1 species